CCUACGGGUGGCAGCAGUCGAGAAUCAUUCACAAUGGGGGAAACCCUGAUGGUGCGACGCCGCGUGGGGGAAUGAAGGUCUUCGGAUCGUAAACCCCUGUCAUGUGGGAGCAAAUUAAAAAGAUAGUACCACAAGAGGAAGAGACGGCUAACUCUGUGCCAGCAGCCGCGGUAAUACAGAGGUCUCAAGCGUUGUUCGGAAUCACUGGGCGUAAGGCGUGCGUAGGCUGUUUCGUAAGUCGUGUGUGAAAGGCGCGGGCUCAACCCGCGGACGGCACAUGAUACUGCGAGACUAGAGUAAUGGAGGGGGAACCGGAAUUCUCGGUGUAGCAGGGAAAUGCGUAGAUAUCGAGCGGAACACUCGUGGCGAAGGCGGGUUCCUGGACAGUAACUGACGCUGAGGCACGAAGGCCAGGGGAGCGAAAGGGAUUAGAUACCCGGGUAGUC
rnacentral:rRNA from 1 species